UAACCUUAUCUUCUUCUUCGUUCUUCCAUCGUCUUGACGAAAAGUGUCGCUGUUGAAUCCACGAGCAGAAGAAGAAGAAGGAGGAGGAGGAAGGGGUCGCUGUUGCGUGACUCGCGGCACUCGCUUGGACAUAGCGCCCUCGCGCUCGGGUUGCGGAUUGAAUCCCUCCGCCCUCCAAUUUCGAGCGGCGGCGUCGGCGGCGGCUGUCGGCCUUUUCCCGCGUCCUUAUGCGGCGCCAUUGACGGAGCUGGAGCCGGUGAGUUCCUGGUCGCUUUUCUCGAUCUGAUCCGUGCGGGUUCCGUCUCGCCUCGGAUCUGAACGGCAAUGCGGUACUGUGGCUGGGCGGUGAUGCGUCGAUCUGGUGAUUUUUGGGGUUCGGCUAGCUGAGGGAUUGGCGGAGGGCUGAAUUGUUGGGAGUUCGAGGGUUGCUGUGUUGUAGUGUGAUGCGAUAUUCCGCUUUUCAUUUUUCUUGUUUGUUCAUUUUGGGUGUGGGCGAAACCGCGCACUUCGUUAGGGGGUUUCGAUCUUCUGGGUCUCUCUCUGUGCUGAGAUUUGAUUUGCUUUCGUGCUUUGAUUGAAAGUUGGGUUUUGGUGCUUCUGUUCUUUUUUGUUGGCUGUGUUUCAUGGAUGGUGUUGCUAUCUUCUGGUGUUGAUGCUUGAGCCCCUCUGGGUUAUCGAGCUUAUUCGAAGAAGGGAAGAACGGAAUAUAUGCUUUGGCUGGGUGUUUCUUCUUUAUAUGUUUGUUUUUUGUUGAUUAUUUGAUGUUUUGUUAAGUCCCUUUCUAUUUUGGAAUAUUGAAAUAAGGUGGGAUGCUUUUAGGAUUAUGAUGCGCGUUAUUGGGAUCCCAUCGUUAAGAUUUUAUGAAGGCUUAGCAGGUUUUGUUGGAAGUAAUUGAAUGAAGUCUUCCAUUCUAGAACUUUUUGAAAAGGCGACAUAUUCUUUCUUUGGAAGAACUUGUGUUGCCGAAUUCCAUUGCAUAUUUCACAUGUUGGUUAGAGCCACACUGUAUACUUUGCAUUUCCAUCCAUGAAAUAUGUGAAACUGAUGCAAACCUGUAAUAAUCUUUUUCUGCAA